AAUUGACACUUCUGAGAUUGAAGCUGUUGACAUACAUGAUGGAUCAUCGCGUGUGUUGAAUGGAGACUAUGCUUUAUCUUUGAUGCGUGCGUUCAAUCAAAAGCUUCGAGUUGUAAGGAUUCAUUAUAUGGAAAGGACUUCUUAAGGGAGCUGUCACAAGGAGGGUUGACAUGCCAAGUUUUAAACUUGAGGUCUUCACGUUUCCGGAAGCUCAACAUGGCGGGGGGAUUCAUGCGGAUACACCACCCCCACCCUCAAUCUUGAUUUCAACACUUCACUUACUAGCUUCCGUGAGGAUUGUUUUACUUGCAUGCCCAAUCUAAAUUACCUCUCAAUGUGUGCAACAAGAGUUGCAAAUCUUU
rnacentral:misc_RNA from 1 species